UGCGGGAUGGUGUAGCGGUAGCACCCAUGACUCUGGAUCAUGUUGCCUAGGUUCGAAUCCUAGUCCCGCAGCCA
rnacentral:tRNA from 1 species